rnacentral:tRNA from 1 species
AGGGAUUUGGCUUAGCGGUAUAAGCGCCUGCCUGACAAACAUGAGGUCAUGAGUUCAAUCCUUAGUACUUA